rnacentral:rRNA from 1 species
AUGAACGCUGGCGGCGUGCCUAAUACAUGCAAGUCGAGCGAACGGACGAGAAGCUUGCUUCUCUGAUGUUAGCGGCGGACGGGUGAGUAACACGUGGAUAACCUACCUAUAAGACUGGGAUAACUUCGGGAAACCGGAGCUAAUACCGGAUAAUAUUUUGAACCGCAUGGUUCAAAAGUGAAAGACGGUCUUGCUGUCACUUAUAGAUGGAUCCGCGCUGCAUUAGCUAGUUGGUAAGGUAACGGCUUACCAAGGCAACGAUGCAUAGCCGACCUGGGAGGGUGAUCGGCCACACUGGAACUGAGACACGGUCCAGACUCCUACGGGAGGCAGCAGUAGGGAAUCUUCCGCAAUGGGCGAAAGCCUGACGGAGCAACGCCGCGUGAGUGAUGAAGGUCUUCGGAUCGUAAAACUCUGUUAUUAGGGAAGAACAUAUGUGUAAGUAACUGUGCACAUCUUGACGGUACCUAAUCAGAAAGCCACGGCUAACUACGUG